rnacentral:lncRNA from 1 species
UAUUUGUUUAUCUUUGGCUAGUUAGGGGAAAGCUAAGGUCAUUAAAUCCUAAUGGUAAAGCAAAGCAGGCUUUAGAUUUCAGAUCAUAGUAAUGUGUUCAUGUCAAGAUCCUAAGCAUGAUUUUUCACUGUGCAUAAUCUGUUUUAUAAAAAAAUUUAAAGUACACAUAAAAAAUCACCACUUUCUAACACAUCAAAUGGCCAAGAUGUGUGGCAUCAAUUUAAAAUUGGUGUGGGGAAUGGAUGUGCAUGAGAAAAAAAUUCAGACUCCUCAACCACAUGGACUCUAUGUCCAAAUGGCACAAAGAUCAGGGGUUUUGGCUCAGAUAAGAUCAAGUCUAACUUGAUCAAAGACUUAUCCAUUUAAUUAGCCAUCUGAUGGUUGACCAAAAGUCCAUGCGCAAGAUAAGAAAUGCAUAGAAUCAAAAUGGAUAAGAA